AAGGUAAAAAUUUGAAAUUAACAGACGGCCAUGAACUACUUUCGGUAGCGACCACAGCAACAUCAUAGAUCAUGUGGGGACUUCCCCUGACUUGCACAAGGGAUGCUGGGAAGCACAUGGCAACAGCCA